rnacentral:antisense_RNA from 1 species
CGUGGGAGCUGGCUUGCCAGCGAUGGGGUCCUCACAUUCAACAUCAUUGUUGCCUGUCAGACCGCUAUCGCUGGCAAGCCAGCUCCCACA